CCGGGGCACAAGGCCAGGACGACGCAGCAACGGCUUAAGGAGAAUUUUUCCGAUUUAUGGCCUCCCUUCUCGCCCGACAUAAAUCCUCUCUACUAUGGCUAUGUCGAAAGUAAGCUGAACCGAACUUAAAGUAGGAGUGAAGAAUAGCUAGGAUUCUAGGACCGACGUAUCGAUCCUUAUGACCGUUUAAAGAUAAAAAAACUUAUAAGGAGGGGAGAUUGAUUAGGAAAUCAGUCUUAGAACCGAUCCAACACUAAUGUAGAACAUUUAGGGGGGAAUCAAAGGAGUACAUUUUAGGUAUUUUAAAUAGAUUAAUAAGGACUUCAUUUUUUAUUAUUAGUAAAAGUAUUAAUUAUUUACAGCAAGCAUCGAUAUUUUAUUUUUUUAACAUAUAAUAUUAUUCUUAAAUUUCAAAAUGGACAAUUAAGUUGGACAAGACCAAAAAAAAAAAGAAGAUAAAUUAAAUUACAUAAUAUUAAUAAAGUAUAUAUGAUUAUAAUAAAUUAUCAGCUGCAUUGCCAAUCACAGUAAUUGAAGUUACAUAAAAUAACAGCAGAGGGGAAAUGAUUUUUACACAUUUUGAAGAGAGCAAACCUGCAGUUAUUGUGGCGUAUGCAGCCGGAGAGUUAAGUAUUAAGUAAAUUAGGACUAUUUUAGCAAUAUAAGCAUUUCAUGAUACUAUGUAAUUAAUUAAUAAUAAAUUUUGUCAGUGGAAUUGAAUUACAAUCAGAGUAAACUACCUAUUUUGAUGAUAUAUUUUUUUUUUGUAAAAUAUAGAAACUAUUUUACAAAAAACAGCAAUACUCCGUUUAGUUCCCGGAUUGGUAAAGAUUUUCCGGAAAAGUAAUAAAAUCAAACAUUUAUAUACAUACCAAAAGUAUAAAAGGAUACAGUGGAACACACUUAAUGCGUAUCUCAAGGGAUUAUUCCUUUAGAGAGGACUUUUAAUAAAGGCCUGAAAUACCAUUAAUUGGAUACGACAGACUCUUAUUAUAGUCGACCCCUUUUGACAGUCCCUUGAGAUCCAGAUUAAAUGUGUUCUACUGCAAUUUGUAGUUCUAGAAUAGUCUUCGCUAUCCAUAGUCAAUUAAACAGACUGUUCGAGGUAUUGCUAUACAGUAAUACCCUGUAUAGACAGAAUAUUGUUAUAGCAUGGAUCUUUUAGUAAUAAAUGAGAAUUCGUAUAUAGUCUUCCUUACAGACGAGCCUUGUGUCUCGUACAGUCCAGUAUCUCCACAGAACCAAUUAGCCUAACAGUUCGGAGUAUUGCUGUAGUGUCGUUAUUGAUGAUAUAUCUAUAAAUAAGUAUGCACAUGUAUAAAAUUAAACUAAAUUGAUUAAAAACAACUAAUUUUACAUUCAAAUAGUAUCUAAAAAUAUAUGAUUUUUAUGGCUGUACCAUAGCUUUUUAUAAACAGUACGUGGGUAAAUGAGUAAAGCGAUUUAAUAUUUCUUUUAUUUGACAUAUAAUAUUCUCAUUUAUGAAUCUCAGAGGGUAUAUGAAUAA
rnacentral:lncRNA from 1 species